CAGGACUCAGGCCCUUUCCUGGUCUUCCAGCUAAGCUUGGAGCUUUGAGUGCCAAGACGAAGUGGGUCGCUGGCCAGGUAGAGGGGAAGAAGGCUGGGAAGGAGACCUGAAGUGAACCCAGGGCCAGCUCUACACCCAACAAGCUGGGCCAUUUGGAAUGGUUCCUGCCUGCCCUGAGCUUCAGGCACAACUUCUUCAGGGGUCUGCUGGUGGAGAAUUACUGUGCCCCAGGAUGGACCUGCAGACCACGCUAUCUCUCAGGCAUCACUGAGCAGCACAGACUGAUAACGGCUUAUUCCUGAGAGUAGAAAAGGAGCCACCCCACAGUUUCUCAGGUGACGUAAGACUGUAG
rnacentral:lncRNA from 1 species